UUGCAGCCAAUUAAGCAGACUGUGCUCUUCUCCCAUGGGGGCCCAGUGUGCGAUGGCUGCACACAGCAGCCUCCUUGGUGGUAUAGGUAGUCUGUUACCUGUACAGGUUGCCCUAAAGGAUCUUAGAGACAGCC
ensembl:snoRNA SNORA70 Small nucleolar RNA SNORA70